rnacentral:tRNA from 1 species
UCCGGUGUGGUCUUGUGGUUAGGUUUUCUGGUUUUUACCCAGGCGGCCCGGGUUCGAUUCCCGGCACCGGAA